rnacentral:rRNA from 1 species
AUUGAACGCUGGCGGCAGGCCUAACACAUGCAAGUCGAGUGAGCGGCGGACGGGUGAGUAAUGUAUGGGGACUGCCCGAUAGAGGGGGAUAACUACUGGAAACGGUAGCUAAUACCGCAUACUAACGGAUAACCCAUAUGGGAUUAGCUAGUAGGUUAGGUAAUGGCUAACCUAGGCGACGAUCCCUAGCUGGUCUGAGAGGAUGAUCAGCCACACUGGGACUGAGACACGGACCAGACUCCUACGGAGGCAGCAGUGGGGAAUAUUGCACAAUGGGCGAAAGCCUGAUGCAGCAAUGCCGCGUGUAUGAAGAAGGCCCUAGGGUUGUAAAGUACUUUCAGUCGGGAGGCGUUACCGACAGAAGAAGCACCGGCUAACUCCGUGCCAGCCGCCGCGGUAAUUC